ACAUUCCAUUAAAUCCUUUGGAAAUGAAAGAGCAGAAUCUAUGGAGAUCCAUCUAAAUUCGUAUGAAUUUUCAAUUACAUAACAAUUCCAAUCC